GACCGGGAGCUCCUCAGGACAUGGCUGAUGAGUGAAACUGGCAUUCCCCAGCCCUUCCAUUAUAACUUAUCUUAAGAGACAUUUCCCCCUGGAAUUAACCCCUAAUUUUAAAAUGCCAGCAAAGAGGCUUUUGCUGAUAAGGGACCAGGACAGGAUUUCAGCUGUGCUCUCAAUUUGCUCUCCCUGCCCCUCUCUACCAGCAAUGAUGGGCUGCAGCUGGGGAGCUGGAGCCACUCUACUGACCUCAUAUAUAAAUGGGGCCAGGUAGCUGCCUGGCUCCUAAAGAUGCUGCAGUGUGGGCUGGAGAUGAGGCACUACAAGAAAUUGAAUUUUAGUGAGAUGGCACCAUGCUUGGUGCCUGUCUGGGAAUGGAACCCAAGUGCUCCUGCCUGGUGCUGGAAUCGCACCUGUGCAUCAACAGCUGCUUCCUAAGGAAAUUAAACCCAAAGCUGCUAAGAAUUCAUGGAGCAAAGGUCUGACACGCGCUGUAGCUGCGCCGUUCGCUGAGCGAUAAAUCUGCUGAAGGUGCCAUUUCAUUCACCAAAAAGUCACAAUUAAAAUGUCACACAACAGCCACCCUGGGAGAAUCGCUUAAUGUCCUUAAUGAAAAGUUUAAUGUACAGUUAGCUCAUCUUCUGAAACCAGCAUCCGUGAUCUUUGCAUCUUCAAGUGAAAAGGGCAGAAGGGGAGAACAAAUUCUAGCGUGUUGGUGCUGAGAAAUGGGAUCCAGUCUUAGGUUUGACAGAGAUAAACAGCUCUGUCCUUUGCAUUGGAUCCUUCCUGCUGAGGGGGAAGCUGGGCAGAGCUCCUGCCGUCGUGUCCUGCAUGCUGGGAUAUGCUAUGCCAUGCGUUUGUUCAUUAGUGCCAUUUAUUAAUUGCAGCUUGACCAUCCUGAGGGCUGUCAUCUCCAAUGGGGGCCGUGGUUUGCAACAGCAGGCUGAAGGCAAGGUCACAGCCCUGCUGAAGUGCUCAAGCAUCUUUGAAAGGAGAGCAGAAAGUAAAUGCAGGGCAGCAGCAGCGCUGGAGCAGCAGAGCAGCCUUCUCUCCAUCCCAGUGAGCUCUGCACACUCCUGCACCCUGUAAGAGUCGCUGCCACCAGCACCACGUGCCCAUGAGCUUUGUCACUUCUCCCAGAAGUUUCUGUGAGUUUUGUACUGGACUGUGAAAUCCCCGCUCUGCAUCCAGAGCAAAGCAGGUGAGGCUGCCCUGUCCUGAAACAGCAGUGCCUUUACCUUGGGCAAAGGCAUGAGAAGGGGUCUUGGUAGGGAACUGUGAACGUCCACCUGGGCACAAGGAGGAGACAUCUGUCUUAGGGGUGGGUGAAUCAAGGCUCACAGCUUGUUUGUGUUUCACCACACGAGUCACAGAAACCAACAUCCGCCAUCUGGCCAGCAUUAAAGCAGCGGCUGGGAAGGAUCUCACAUGUCCUCAUCUUUUCCUCCCCAGCAAUUACA